rnacentral:rRNA from 1 species
UAGGUGAACCUGCGGAGGGACAUUA